CUAAGGAGCAUCUGCACUGCUCGUUUCGAAGAGUCGAAGCCGAGAGUGCCAGAGCCGCUUAUGUUCCCGAAUGUGGAACUGCGGAGCUCAUGGGUGGAACGCUGACAACCUCACCGCAUCAGCGAGGAGCUAAUGCUCUGAGCGUGGUGAUAUAUCGACACACUGUUGGGUCCUGAAAGAACAGACGUUCUUUCCAGGCAAAAAACGACGAGGCUGAUCUUCAGUCAUACCGCCGAGAGUUUUCUCGGGCUGGUGCUGGGUAAAAGGUCGGGCUUGUGUGUUGUUUGAGAACUGCACAGUGGACGCGAGCAUCUUUGUUAGUAAGUGUGUAAGAGCGUAC
rnacentral:misc_RNA from 1 species